UACGUAGGUGGCAAGCGUUGUCCGGAUUUACUGGGCGUAAAGGGCGUGCAGGCGGUCUGUUAAGUGCAGGGUGAAAGCUCCCGGCUCAACUGGGAGAGGUCCUUGCAUACUGGCGGACUUGAGGGGGGUAGAGGAAAGUGGAAUUCCCGGUGUAGUGGUGAUAUGCGUAGAUAUCGGGAGGAACACCUGUGGCGAAGGCGGUUGCCUGGAGCUUUGCUGACGCUGAUGCGCGAAAGCGUGGGGAGCGAUCCGG
rnacentral:rRNA from 1 species